AUCUUAUGUUGUAUGUAUGUGUGUAUGUGCAUGUAGCAUGUACUCAUGUGUACAUGUGCAUA
rnacentral:miRNA from 1 species